UUCUCUCUCUCUGCUGGAGUUUGUGUUCACUCGAGUGGAAUAGAGGUUUUUGUACGACCGUUUCAUUAGAUUGUAUCACUGUGGAGGACUUUCGGUGGAGGAACUAAACUGGUGGUCUCUGGUCCCACAGUGAAGCCCUCAGUGUCUCUGCUGCCGCCCUCUUCUCUGCAGAUCUCUGGAGACUCAGCCGCACUGCUCUGCCUGCUCAGCUCUUACUCUCCACAGGGGGCGCUGGUGAGCUGGACACUGGACGGGUCAGAGGUCACCGAGGGGGUCGUGACCAGCGCAGAGAGCCAGCGGGACGGCCGCUACAGCCGCAGUAGCGUCCUGACCCUCAGCAAAGCACGCUGGGAAAAGGGAGAGGUGUACGUCUGCAGAGUAACACAUGAUGGAGCUCCUCAUGAGGUCUCGUUCCACAAGAGCUCUGAGUGCUGAUGUUUCUCUCCUGAAGAUGAGCCGUAUCUGAGUGUCCUGUGUCAGGCAGGAUUCACAUGAGUCUAGUGCUGCAGCUGUAGUGAUUUACAACUCAAUACUGAAAGAGAGCUGGCGUGUCAAAGCACUGUGUGAUCUUUCAAUCUGCUGUAACAUUCAAUAAAGCUUCUCAACAAGUUCACUUUGUGUCUGACAACAUCAUUCAACUAACAGAUGAAGAUGCAGGUGCUUUUCACAAGCUUGAUGUAAAUGUCAAAUAAAGCUCUUGGGGUUUGAACAUGGUCUCUGGAGACAGAGCUGCUCUAUUCUGAGAGGAUCAGAAUCACUCCACCCUGACAAUGCAAAUGGGCUUUUCAGUCUCACUGUUUGAUUGGUCACAUGAUCUGGACUGGAACACACCAGUUUCACUUCUGCUGAAAAUGUGGUGAUGAUGAAAAUAUAUAUGAAAAUGUCAUGAAAAUCAAAUGGAAAGCAUCACGUCCAGACAGCAGAAGUGACUGAAUUCAGUCUGUUCAGUUUGAUUGACAGGGAUCAUAUAUUACACCUAAAACAUGAUGAUCAUAUUAAACACUGACUCAUUCUCUUCAUAAACACAAGAUUGAUGUUGAUUGUAAUGAUUUAGUGUUAUUAGUGUUUGUCUGUGAUCAGUGUUGUGUGUGAUUGUGUUUAUGAGCAGCUGCAGCUGAAAGUCAUGUUUGUUGGUUGAUGAAGAAGAGCUCUUGAUCAUGUCAUGUUCAGUUCAUAGAGCUAUAAACACAUUCAGAGCAGUGAAGCAUGUGCCGCUUCUCAUUUUAUUUAACCCUUGGGGGUCCCUGAUAAUAUAUUCAUCAUGAAAUGUGGAUAUAGAGAAAAGGCUGCACCCACUUCAGCCCCUCAUUUCAUUGAACAGACGUGUCAUAUAUAGAUCCGGUGUGAAGUCCAAAAACGUUUUAUGUUUCCUGAGGGCGACACCAUGCCAUAGAGGAAUAAAGCAACAAUUCUAUAAUUGAGUUAAUUUCAGCAAAACUUGUAUGUAAUGUUGUAUUUUCAGUGGUUUAAUCUGGAACAAUUACUGGGACACCAUAGGAAGAUUUAUUGUUUAUUGUUUGCGCUCAUGCUGUAUGUCGACGGGGAAGCAGAGGUCGUUUUGACAAAUGUUUUGUUAAUAAAAAGGCUUAAAUACAAACACUUUUCUCUCUUUGCUGUGGAAGUUCAGUAUAAGAGGAAAUGUCAGGCAUCUUAGGGGGCACUGCAAUAUUGAUCUGGUGAAGGAGGAGGCCAUCGAGUAAAAAAGGUUGAGAAACACUACACUAGUGUCAUCACAUCGACACAACGUCAAAGUGACUGACAGAUAGAGAACUCAGUUAUGUAACAGACACGCCAUCUAGUGAUGAAGCAUGGAAGUGCACUUAAAGUGACGGACUUUCCUGCAGUUUGAUUACAUUGUUGUGGCAAAGUUUUGCAGGGCCAAACACCACUAACAUUUAUAUAAUAUAAAAAUGAUGUUACCUGCUUAGUACAUCAAAAUAAAUAAAUAAAUAAAUAAAUAAUGUUUCUGAAAGGUUUGAUACAACAUUGUGUUGUUUGUGAUCCUCCAUCAGCAGCUGCAGUAUCUCUCAGCUGUAUCAGUGCAUCACUGUGACGUCUGACUGACCGAGGUUUUUGUACCACUCUUUAUCACUGUGUGAACACACAGCUACUAGGACAGUGUUCACUCUGACAGUAAUAAUCUC